GUGUUAUAUGAAAGGAGAGAAGUUUAGCACUCCCCUCGACAAGGAUGGAAGAGGCGCUCGGGCCUGACAACACGCAUACAGUUAAGGCAUUGCCACAUACUUCAUGGCAUAAAAACCAACAAGAAAA
ensembl:snRNA